CCUGUCUUUUGAGUUGUUCACAAUUUUAGGGUGGUUGUUCGAAUUGUGAUUAUUGUUAUCAAUACUGGUUAGGUUAAGUAUCCAGUACAUAUUUUGUGGGUUUCUUAUUGCUGGUUUAUUUGUUAUCGUUUACCGAGUGGCAAUGCAAUGCAAGGCAGUGCAGUCUUGUUGAUAAGUACUAAUUCCACAGGUACCACAUACUGUGCAUCCCCAUUCAUUGAAUGAAAUGAUUGACCUUCAUUUAAGAGUUGCGUGUGGGGAUGUUGAAUAUCAACCAAUGGAUUAGGGUGUCUGCGAAUCAGUAAAUGUGAUAUCCCCUGUGGAAUUACUCCAGCUUCCAUGGACACCAGAGAUUCUGAGGACUAGGUGCUGUUUCCCUGAAAUUGGAACAGCUGAAUUAAAUUCCUUCCUGACACUAGAAAAGGGGCACCAUGGUAGAAGUUCAGUCUGACUGCCAGAGACAGUUCCAGGCAGCUGUGUCAGUCAUCCACGCCCUGCCAAAAAAUGGUUUUUACCGGCCGUCCCAUGAGAAGAUGCUGACGGUUUUACAGUUACUACAAACAGGCGACUGUAGGCCCCUUGUAGCAUCAACAGGCCCGGAUUCUGGGAUCCCAUUGGACGCAUAAAAUGGGACGCAUGGAAAGCUCUGGGGAACAUGUCAAAAAAAGAGGCCAUGACAAAUUACAUUGAAGAGAUAAAAAA